rnacentral:rRNA from 1 species
AUGAACGCUGGCGGCGUGCCUCAUACCUGCAAGUCGAGCGAACAGAUAAGGAGCUUGCUCCUUUGACGUUAGCGGCGGACGGGUGAGUAACACGUGGGUAACCUACCUAUAAGACUGGGAUAACUUCGGGAAACCGGACCUAAUCCCGGAUAAUAUUUCGAACCGCAUGGUUCGAUAGUGAAAGAUGGUUUUGCUAUCACUUAUAGUUGGACCCGCGCCGUAUUAGCUAGUUGGUAAGGUAACGGCUUACCAAGGCGACGAUACGUAGCCGACCUGAGAGGGUGAUCGGCCACACUGGAACUGAGACACGGUCCAGACUCCUACGGGAGGCAGCAGUAGGGAAUCUUCCGCAAUGGGCGAAAGCCUGACGGAGCAACGCCGCGUGAGUGAUGAAGGUCUUCGGAUCGUAAAACUCUGUUAUUAGGGAAGAACAUACGUGUAAGUAACUGUGCACGUCUUGACGGUACCUAAUCAGAAAGCCACGGCUAACUACGUG